rnacentral:lncRNA from 1 species
UUGUCUAUGAUAAUUUAGCCCUCAAACUUUAAUUUGAUGUAAUUUCUUACACAAAUUUCUAGUAUUUUUACAAUCAAGUCCUACAAUAUAAUAUAAUUGACCAAAUUUUAAUAUAUUAUCGAUGCAAAAAUAAUAUGAUAUCUUAAUUAUUACCAUAUUAUCGAUUGCAAUACUACUAUAUUACUUCUACAUUAGUGAUAUAUAAAUAUUUAGUCAACUAAAUUAUAUUGUAAGACUUGAUUGCAACAAUUUUGAAAAUUUAAUUAAAAAAUUAAAACAAAUUAGAGUCGGAAGACCAAAAGUGAGCUGCAGCCUCAUAGUUUGAGGACCAAAUAAGUAAUUUAACUAUGAGUUGCAAAUUUAAUAAAGCCUUGUUUAGAUGCAUGAAUAUCUGUUUUUUUAGUAUAUAUUUUUAAUUUAUUUAAAAAUUUGUGCAUUUAGACGAUGAAAAGUAUGAUCAAACAUUUAAAAUGGAUUAUCAUAUUCGAGCUUCAACUCAAUUUUUCCAAAAAAAUGUAAAUCAACUUUAUAGGUAAAAUAUGCUGUUCUAUCAAAUCAUAAAUAGCAAAGUCUUUUAAAAAAAUAAAAAUUAAAAUAUUCUCCUUACAAUCAUACUAAAAAAAUUC